rnacentral:rRNA from 1 species
UACGAAGGGGACUAGCGUUGCUCGGAAUCACUGGGCGUAAAGGGUGCGUAGGCGGGUCUUUAAGUCAGGGGUGAAAUCCUGGAGCUCAACUCCGGAACUGCCUUUGAUACUGAGGAUCUUGAGUUCGGGAGAGGUGAGUGGAACUGCGAGUGUAGAGGUGAAAUUCGUAGAUAUUCGCAAGAACACCAGUGGCGAAGGCGGCUCACUGGCCCGAAUACUGACGCUGAGGCACGAAAGCGUGGGGGAGCAAAACAGG